rnacentral:tRNA from 1 species
GGGAAUGUGGCUUAGUGGUAUAGUGCUUGCCUAGCAUGCAAAAAGUCUUGGGUUCCAUUCCUCAGUACCA